rnacentral:rRNA from 1 species
CACUAGUGAUUCUCCUGGAAACGGGUGGUAAUGCCGGAUGCUCCAGUUGGAUGCAUGUCCUUCUGGGAAAGAUUAUAUCGGUAUGGGAUGGGGUCGCGUCCUAUCAGGUAGUCGGCGGGGUAACGGCCCACCGAGCCUACGACGGGUAGCCGGCCUGAGAGGGCGACCGGCCACAUUGGGACUGAGAUACGGCCCAGACUCCUACGGGAGGCAGCAGUGGGGAAUAUUGCACAAUGGGCGCAAGCCUGAUGCAGCGACGCCGCGUGCGGGAUGACGGCCUUCGGGUUGUAAACCGCUUUUGAUCGGGAGCAAGCCUUCGGGUGAGUGUACCUUUCGAAUAAGCACCGGCUAACUACGUGCCAGCAGCCGCGGUAAUACGUAGGGUGCAAGCGUUAUCCGGAAUUAUUGGGCGUAAAGGGCUCGUAGGCGGUUCGUCGCGUCCGGUGUGAAAGUCCAUCGCUUAACGGUGGAUCCGCGCCGGGUACGGGCGGGCUUGAGUGCGGUAGGGGAGACUGGAAUUCCCGGUGUAACGGUGGAAUGUGUAGAUAUCGGGAAGAACACAAUCGAAUUC